rnacentral:rRNA from 1 species
AUUGAACGCUGGCGGCAGGCCUAACACAUGCAAGUCGAGCGGAUGACGGGAGCUUGCUCCUUGAUUCAGCGGCGGACGGGUGAGUAAUGCCUAGGAAUCUGCCUGGUAGUGGGGGACAACGUUCCGAAAGGGGCGCUAAUACCGCAUACGUCCUACGGGAGAAAGUGGGGGAUCUUCGGACCUCACGCUAUCAGAUGAGCCUAGGUCGGAUUAGCUAGUUGGUGAGGUAAAGGCUCACCAAGGCGACGAUCCGUAACUGGUCGGAGAGGAUGAUCAGUCACACUGGAACUGAGACACGGUCCAGACUCCUACGGGAGGCAGCAGUGGGGAAUAUUGGACAAUGGGCGAAAGCCUGAUCCAGCCAUGCCGCGUGUGUGAAGAAGGUCUUCGGAUUGUAAAGCACUUUAAGUUGGGAGGAAGGGCAGUAAGUUAAUACCUUGCUGUUUUGACGUUACCGACAGAAUAAGCACCGGCUAACUCUGUGCCAGCAGCCGCGGUAAUAC